GCCUGGGUGGCUCAGUGGUAGAGUGCCUGCCUUCAGCUCAAGGCAUGAUCCCGGAGUCUCGGGAUCAAGUCCUGCAUCAGGCU
rnacentral:tRNA from 1 species